rnacentral:rRNA from 1 species
GACGAACGCUGGCGGCGUGCUUAACACAUGCAAGUCGAACGGAAAGGCCCUGCUUUUGUGGGGUGCUCGAGUGGCGAACGGGUGAGUAACACGUGAGUAACCUGCCCUGGACUUGGGGAUAACUUCAGGAACCUGGGGCUAUUACCGGAUAGGAGCUCCUGCUGCAUGGGGGGGGUGGGAAAGUUUCGGCGGUGGGGGAUGGACUCGCGGCUUAUCAGCUUGUUGGUGGGGUAGUGGCUUACCAAGGCUUUGACGGGUAGCCGGCCUGAGAGGGUGACCGGCCACAUUGGGACUGAGAUACGGCCCAGACUCCUACGGGAGGCAGCAGUGGGGAAUAUUGCACAAUGGGCGGAAGCCUGAUGCAGCAACGCCGCGUGCGGGAUGACGGCCUUCGGGUUGUAAACCGCUUUCGCCUGUGACGAAGCGUGAGUGACGGUAAUGGGUAAAGAAGCACCGGCUAACUACGUG